rnacentral:piRNA from 1 species
AAAGUUGUGACCCAAUUUACUCUGA